UACACGUCAUUCACAUUGUUUUUGUUCUAAACGUUUCCACUUUCUUAAUUUUACCGUUCACGGACGAUGCUCAAAGACGAAGCAUCAAAGGGAGUAUUGUCGUCGGCGGCUGAUUCCGAUGAUCGAUCCCACCCUGAUUCGUAGCUCUAGCUCUGGCCCAGCUUCUACUUCAUCUGUCUCUUCCUCAGGUGUCUGUAGAGGCCUCCGCGACAAUACCGAGACGGGAAACAUUUGAGCCGGCGGCACUGCUACAGGUACGGUUGGGGAUAUGGUUAUGGUCUUACGUUAGAGAAGAGAUCUUCUCAUGGAAGGAAGUGGAAUGGAAAGCAUAUCUAAGGGAUUCUCAGAGGAGAGUUUAAGCAGUGGAAAAUUACUCUUGGAACGUGUGAUCCAUCACCUAUGAUGGCUAAUCAGUUUUAUGUAAGUCGUAUGACCUUAGUGGAAUUGAAAUCUAUGUUUAUUGAAUCCCAGACUUGUUAGUUCCAUUGAUAGUAUUUUACUUCCAAAGUGUAGCCUUUUAUACUUCCAUUGUGUUACUCUUUGAGGAUCUUGCAACAGAGGAUCAUAUCUUCCAAUUAUACCAUCGAAAGCUUAAGGCCAGGCUCAAGUCUUUUCCAAAGCGUUGCAGGUAAGAUUAAAUUUGGUCAUUUUCACCAUCAUGCAUAUAUCACAUUCAUAUUUUACUAUUGAAAUGAAUCUCUUCUGGCAUAGUAAUAUAUCAGAAUGAUAAUCAGUGUAUUGUGUUAUCAAUCUUUGGCCUAGAAAACAUGAAUCUCUAAACAGAUUGCAGAAGAGAAGUUGCAGAUAUUGAUUUAAAGUUCCGGAGUUUGGUAGCAAUUGGCUUGUUGGUUAGUUCUCAAAUCACUAAGUUCUUCCGUUCAAGAACAAUAUGUAUAUAUGCUUGUUGGUUACAGAUUUUUUUCCAAUACAAAUGCUUGAAGGCCUCGUGAAGAAUAUAGCAAAUUAGCAAUAGGCUUUUAGGUGGAAGUUGGUGCUGAUAUCGAUUUUGUGAUUUGCCAACUUUAGAAGGACACUUGUGACACCGCCAAUAUUAGGAUUGUUUUGAAUGUAAAUUUUAUUCAAUUUUAUUACUCGACUAAAUUUUCUAACAGAACAUCAUAUUUUUACCAAUCAAAAUUUGCACAAAAAGUAUUAAUAAAAUUAAAUUUAAACAAAUAACUAUUACCAAACAGAAUAAAACUUAAUAAAUCCCCACAAUAAUAAGGCUAGGUUCUCUCAAGUUGUUGACACAUCAGACUUUUAGAGUGUUGAGAAAUGGACAUGUCAUUAACUGAAAAAAACAUUGAAAACCAGUUAUAACAUUUAGUUUGUCCAUGUCA